rnacentral:rRNA from 1 species
GAUGAACGCUGGCGGCGUGCCUAAUACAUGCAAGUCGAGCGAAUGGAUUAAGAGCUUGCUCUUAUGAAGUUAGCGGCGGACGGGUGAGUAACACGUGGGUAACCUGCCCAUAAGACUGGGAUAACUCCGGGAAACCGGGGCUAAUACCGGAUAACAUUUUGAACCGCAUGGUUCGAAAUUGAAAGGCGGCUUCGGCUGUCACUUAUGAAUGGACCCGCGUCGCAUUAGCUAGUUGGUGAGGUAACGGUUCACCAAGGCAACGAUGCGUAGCCGACCUGGGAGGUUGAGCGGCCCGACUGGGACGAAGACACGGCCCAGACUCCUACGGGAUGCAGCAGUAGGGAAUCUUCCGCGAUGGACGAAAGUCUGACGGAGCAACGCCGCGUGAGUGAUGAAGGCUUUCGGGUCGUAAACCUCUGUUGUUAGGGAAGAACAAGUGCUAGUUGAAUAAGCUGGCACCUUGACGGUACCUAACCAGAAAGCCACGGCUAACUACGUGCCAGCCGCCGCCGUAA